rnacentral:misc_RNA from 1 species
GGUUGGAUCUCUGCCUUGUGCGGCGACGUCCGAACUUGCUAUCCUCUUCAUUGUUGGCACAAUAUACAUKGGCCGUCUGUCGGUUUCCUGUGUUUCGUACCUACUCGAUGGAAUUCGGUUGUCAAUCUCGUGCAGUUCGCCUUAGACUGYCCGUUAGCUCGGAGCGGUCGCAGGUGAAACUCGAAGAGARAUUCUUGUCCCCCGCACUGCACUCUUUGUGUCGGUAUCGUGGUCCAUGAAUUCUCUCUCGGGCGCUGGGAUGCAGAAAACGAAGAGGGCACGGAGUCAUYGRYUCUUAUCUGUCCGCAAAAGGUGUCAAAGCCUAUUUCGAACGACUUCGGUCCCGUUUCGGUCUCGUGCCGUGCGGGUCGAUGUCYGUGAGGAAUGCUAC